rnacentral:rRNA from 1 species
GUGGGGAAUUUUGGACAAUGGGCGAAAGCCUGAUCCAGCAAUGCCGCGUGCAGGAUGAAGGCCUUCGGGUUGUAAACUGCUUUUGUACGGAACGAAACGGUUCUUUCUAAUAAAGAGAGCUAAUGACGGUACCGUAAGAAUAAGCACCGGCUAACUACGUGCCAGCAGCCGCGGUAAUACGUAGGGUGCAAGCGUUAAUCGGAAUUACUGGGCGUAAAGCGUGCGCAGGCGGUUAUGUAAGACAGUUGUGAAAUCCCCGGGCUCAACCUGGGAAUUGCAUCUGUGACUGCAUAGCUAGAGUACGGUAGAGGGGGAUGGAAUUCCGCGUGUAGCAGUGAAAUGCGUAGAUAUGCGGAGGAACACCGAUGGCGAAGGCAAUCCCCUGGACCUGUACUGACGCUCAUGCACGAAAGCGUGGGGAGCAAACAGGAUUAGAAACCCUAGUAGUCC